UGGCUCAGUGAGUAGGGCGUCAGUCCCAUAAACUGAGGGUGGUGGGUUCAAACCCCGC
rnacentral:tRNA from 1 species